UACGAAGGGUGCAAGCGUUACUCGGAAUUACUGGGCGUAAAGCGUGCGUAGGCGGUUUGUUAAGUCUGUUGUGAAAGCCCCGGGCUCAACCUGGGAAUGGCAAUGGAAACUGGCGAGCUAGAGUACGGUAGAGGAGAGUGGAAUUCCCGGGUGGUAGCAGUGAAAUGCGUAGAGAAUCGGGAGGAAUACCGGUGGCGAAAGCGACUCUCUGGACGGCAACUGACGCUGAGGCACGAAAGCGUGGGGAGCAAACAGG
rnacentral:rRNA from 1 species